AUUGAACGCUGGCGGCAGGCCUAACACAUGCAAGUCGAGCGGAUGAAGGGAGCUUGCUCCUGGAUUCAGCGGCGGACGGGCGAGUAAUGCCUAGGAAUCUGCCUGGUGGUGGGGGAUAACGUCCGGAAACGGGCGCUAAUACCGCAUACGUCCUGAGGGAGAAAGUGGGGGAUCUUCGGACCUCACGCUAUCAGAUGAGCCUAGGUCGGAUUAGCUAGUUGGUGGGGUAAAGGCCUACCAAGGCGACGAUCCGUAACUGGUCUGAGAGGAUGAUCAGUCACACUGGAACUGAGACACGGUCCAGACUCCUACGGGAGGCAGCAGUGGGGAAUAUUGGACAAUGGGCGAAAGCCUGAUCCAGCCAUGCCGCGUGUGUGAAGAAGGUCUUCGGAUUGUAAAGCACUUUAAGUUGGGAGGAAGGGCAGUAAGUUAAUACCUUGCUGUUUUGACGUUACCAACAGAAUAAGCACCGGCUAACUUCGUG
rnacentral:rRNA from 1 species